CCUACGGGAGGCAGCAGUGAGGAAUAUUGGUCAAUGGACGAACGUCUGAACCAGCCAAGUAGCGUGAAGGAUGACUGCCCUAUGGGUUGUAAACUUCUUUUAUAUGGGAAUAAAAUGUUCCACGUGUGGGCUUUUGUAUGUACCAUAUGAAUAAGGAUCGGCUAACUCCGUGCCAGCAGCCGCGGUAAUACGGAGGAUCCGAGCGUUAUCCGGAUUUAUUGGGUGUAAAGGGAGCGUAGGUGGAUUGUUAAGUCAGUUGUGAAAGUUUGCGGCUCAACCGUAAAAUUGCAGUUGAAACUGGCAGUCUUGAGUACAGUAGAGGUGUGCGGAAUGCGUGGUGUAGCGGUGAAAUGCUUAGAUAUCACGAAGAACUCCGAUUGCGAAGGCAGCUCACUGGACUGCAACUGACACUGAGGCUCGAAAGUGUGGGUAUCAAACAGGAUUAGAUACCCCGGUAGUC
rnacentral:rRNA from 1 species